GAUGAACGCUAGCUACAGGCUUAACACAUGCAAGUCGCGGGGCAGCAUGGGGGUUGCUUGCAAUCCCCGAUGGCGACCGGCGCACGGGUGAGUAACGCGUAUCCAACCUGCCCUUCACCACGGGAUAACCCGGCGAAAGUCGGACUAAUACCGUAUGUUGUCCAUUGACGGCCUCCGAUUUGGACGAAAGGGUUGGCUGUGAAGGAUGGGGAUGCGUCCGAUUAGCUGGACGGCGGGGUGACGGCCAACCGUGGCGCCGAUCGGUAGGGGUUCUGAGAGGAAGGUCCCCCACACUGGAACUGAGACACGGUCCAGACUCCUACGGGAGGCAGCAGUGAGGAAUAUUGAGCAAUGGGCGUAAGCCUGAACCAGCCAAGUAGCGUGCAGGAGGACGGCCCUAUGGGUUGUAAACUGCUGUUAUGCGGGGAUAAAGUGGCCCACGUGUGGGUUUUUGCAGGUACCGCAUGAAUAAGGACCGGCUAAUUCCGUG
rnacentral:rRNA from 1 species